ACAGAGAGGGCAAGCGUUGUUCGGAAUGACUGGGCGUAAAGGGCGCGUAGGCGGUUUGUUAAGUUGGAUGUGAAAUCCCCGGGCUUAACCUUGGAACUGCAUUCGAUACUGGCAGGCUUGAGGCCGAGAGAGGAAAGCGGAAUGACGAGUGUAGAGGUGAAAUUCGUAGAUAUUCGUCGGAACACCAGAGGCGAAGGCGGCUUUCUGGCUUGGACCUGACGCUGAGGCGCGAAAGCGUGGGGAGCAAACAGGAUUAGAUACCCUGGUAGUCCACGCCCUAAACGAUGAGUGCUAGAUGUCGGAUUUACGGAUUCGGUGUCGCAGCUAACGCAAUAAGCACUCCGCCUGGGGAGUACGGUCGCAAGA
rnacentral:rRNA from 1 species